ensembl:lncRNA
GAAUGUCAACUUCUUGUUAGUUAGGUGCCUGGUCGUGUGCCGCCCCUCCUUUCACCUCACCCCGGCCAUAGGUCAGGUUGCCCAUGUUGGAAUCUCCAUUUCACUACUUACUGACUGUACUUCAUGUGGAUAAUAAUAACAGUACCUACCUCGUAGGGCUGUCGUGAAGAUUAAAUGGAAGGUACGGGUUUGGCUUCAUCUCCAGACAUCGAUGAUUCCUCAGACCUGCUCACUUCUCUGGGCUUGCCUCUCCCUGCUCAAGCCCCAUCUCAUAUGCCUCUCCUAUUCUUCUGCUUCCUGGGGACCUCUGCAGUCAACGGUUGACUUGGAACCUCAAAAUACUAGUGACUUGGUGAGGAGAUCCAUCCACUCAUCUCAAAGAGGAAUUCAAGGCCCAGAAAAGAGCUGUGACUUGUCUGAGGUCAUCUUGGGGUCAAAGAACCAGAGCCCAGGACUCCUCCAGAUUCUUAAUCCGGAACUCAUCAUUCUUGCCCUGCAGGAUGUGGUUUCCAUCCCACAGCCCUGAAACAGACUUCCCCUGGGAUAUGGUGGUUGCCUAGGCUAAUACUUGGACGUUCUUUAGCACUGUGGGGCAAUAACCAGGGGAGACAGAGUUUGGGGAAAUGAGGAAGCAGGUGGGGGAGCCAUCCACAGGUGCUGAAAUUCCAGGAGGCUCAUAAGCACAUCGCCCUCCGUCCAUCCUGGGCAAAGCAGCAAGGACUGUCCCUUCAUUUGUCCACUCUGCCCUCACUGCCCUUUGGUGACUUCUCUUCCUCCUCUCUGCUCUUCAAGGCUGUCCUACUGCUCACUUUGGCCUGUCUCCUGAGGAGUAACAUGGUGA